UACGGGGGGGGCAAGCGUUGUUCGGAAUUACUGGGCGUAAAGGGCUCGUAGGCGGCCAACUAAGUCGGAUGUGAAAUCCCCAAGCUUAACUUGGGAACUGCAUCCGAUACUGGAUGGCUUGAAUCCGGGAGAGGGAUGCAGAAUUCCAGGUGUAGCGGUGAAAUGCGUAGAUAUCUGGAGGAAUACCGGUGGCGAAGGCGGCACCCUGGACCGGCAUUGACGCUGAGGAGCGAAAGCUAGGGGAGCAAACGGG
rnacentral:rRNA from 1 species